AAAGAAUACUCUGGACUCGUCUUCCUUAAGUCUGUCCUUAGAAACGAUGUAGUCAAAUAAUUCGCCACCCGGGCAAUACUUAAAUGAAAAAUAUCGCUUACGGGUGAAUAAGAAAUUUUGCUGAGUAAGGGUUAUUGGUAAGAUUGUCGGGUCAUGCAGUCGAUGAAGGGCUGGCACCAACGGCGACCUCAGCUGGGCGAAACGAGGAGGACAAAGUCACGAAAAAGGGAAGAAGAUUUAGCAGCACUGAGGUCAGCUGUUCUGGCCUCCAUGCUCCAACCUAAAGCUGCUGUGAUACCGAAAGAGGAGGCACGACCUCUGGCACCAAUGAAAUCCGACUCCGAAGAUGACGAAGAUGACUUGGCUGCCUUGCGGGCGGCCGCCCUUCAGUCUAAGAGGAAGAAGAGCCUGGAGAGCUCACAGGAUUCCAGAAGGAACUCCUCCGAUAAGUUCAGCAGUAGACGCUCUGGGAGCAACGGCACGGCAAACCUCAUAACAAUCCCGCCUCAGAAUGUAGAGUCUGUCAAGUCACUCCCUGCCAGAUCCCAAAACCGGUGGGGAGGGAGUCUCAAUAGCAGUCCUGCGUCGACACCAACAAAGUCAAAUGUUGGGCACAAGUUCAGUCGGUUGCAGCACAGCGAUACCGAGAGCGAGGAAAGUGAUCAAGAGCCAGUCACAACCGACACCAAGAAGAGCGAUGAUGAACUCGGAUCCGAUGUCGACAUUCAUCUCGGUUUUGAUGCCAAAGAGAUCCCCACUCUCUCUCCUGCGUUAGAGGAGCCAAGUCGAUGUCCAGGUCCAGUGCAUGUACCAGCACAAGUGCCAAUUGAUGUGGCAGUGCCAGUAGCAGUGCCAGAGGAACAUGUACUUUCACCGGUCAGGGUCAAAACUGAGCCACAAGAUAUGGACGAUAAGAGUAUGGUGUAUCGUGAUAUUGACGAGCGAACGUACAAUCACCGUCGCUUGAAUGAUUUCGGUAACACUUACACCGAUCCUGUGGUGAUUGACGAGCAUGGAGAUGUCGAUAUGCGGCGGGUUGAGAGUCACUUGAAGCCACCAAAGUUACAGAUUCAAGUGAAUAUGGACGGUGCGGGGGAUAGGAGGCGUGUGCAGGUUGCAGACGUGGGACCUGUGCAGCAGAUGUUUCGGGUUACUGUGACUAAUCUCAAUCAGCAGCGAAAUAUCUUAUUAGAGGGUGCUGACGGAUGCUUAUUCCACGACGGGAUGGGAAUGCAGUUGGGUGGUCGCUUACGCCCUAUCGAUGACUUAUCUGUUCUUGAUGCCAGGAGGAUGAUUAUGCCACGUUUGGAGCAAGAGCGGCCUAAACCGCUCGUGGAUGGUGAGCAAUAUGGAAAUAGUGGCUACUGGGACACAGCAGAGCAAUUCCGUAAAAGAAAGCAAAGUUAUGAAGGACAAGAAACACCUUGGAAUGAUGUCAAUAAUUAUCAGACUGCCAAUAAGGCAAUUGAAACUGAUCAUUACUUGGCGGAGAAAACCACUGGUAAAUUAUACAUGGACCGUGAAUCUUCUAAGUUUGUAGAUCGUGAAGAAAAACCGAAGCUGCGCUUGACUCAACCUGAUCAUUACAGUGACUCUGAUUCUAAAACUGAUUCUCUUUUACCUGCGGAAUCUGUUUCUACAAGAGAACAUGACAUUGCAGUUAAUGCUGAGUACUGGGUGACUGCAGAUCAGACCACGGAGCGGGUGGUGAAAAGGGGAGGCAAAGUCAAACUUAAGAGUGGGGAAAAAACGGUAAAAAGAAAAAGUAGAAGCCCAAGGGCUGAAAAGGUUAAAACUUCUAAGGAUUCAAGAAAUCGAUCUCGUACGAGUAAGAAACGACAACCAGAGCCAGAAAGUAGUCUGGAGAGGUAUUCAGGGGAUGAAUCAGAAAUUACGACCAGUCGUGAUAUCAAACGAGAGCGAGAUGAUUCGUUUUCUGAAUCUGAGCACCUUAGUUCUCGUGAGAGAAGCCCCUCUGAAAGUGAUGUCAAAAAUAGUGAUACGAUCGAUGAUGAUUCCAAAUUCUCGGAUAUUUACUCCGAGGAUGUUUCAUCAGUCUCACACAAAGCAAACCGUCCUGUGUUAAAAAAGAAAAAUCGGGGCCCUCAGCCUCCUGUACGGACACAUCAAAACUCUGGUAGAUCGCCCAAACAAGUUGUGGUUAACCCUAAGAAAGAUAAAUCACCACGUGGUAGAAAAGAAGUUGUUAACGAACAUGUUAAAAACGUUAAAGGCAGACGUGCAAGACAUGAAGUUGAGGAGUUUGAUAGGUCUGAAUCACGUGAGCGAGGUGAAGGGCAUGUUAAAGAGCACAAUCACCACGUGAGGGAGAAAAACAUUCGCCAUAAGGGUGAUGUUGACGAAAAAGUUCAUCGGACAAAAAAUGAGCGCGUUCGUAAAUCAAAGAUGGUUUAUGAAGAAGAAGAAGACGAUGAAGAAAUACAAGCUAAACCAAAGAAAUCCCGGGCCGCUCGUGAAGUCAGCGAUGAAGAGUCUUCUCCGGAAAGACCUGUGAAAACCAAAAGAUCUGUCAAAGAUGUUGCAGGUGUGACUCAUCACAAAGCAGUAAAGAAGAAAAUGGUUGAAGCCCCGGUUGAACGUUCCUCCAGACCCAAACAGCGCAGUCCUCGAAAGAAGCUGACUCCUGAGCCUGUGGAGCCCAAGCGGUCACCAGGAAACCGAAUGUAUCGAUCGAGGAAACUACCAGAGGAGGAAGGAGAGAUAACUGAUGAAGAAUCUGAGGAAAGGGUUUGCAAGCCGGUGAAACUUCGCAGCAAGGAACAACUUAAAAUGAGGGAAGCCAUUGGUGAAUGCAGCCGCAAACUUCAUGAGUUACUACGCAGAGAGGAAAAGGAAGAGGGUGAAUUGGAUGAAAGUCCUGUGGAAGUGAAUCGUAGAGCUUUGAAAGGACUGAAAGAGGAGAAGGAAGAGGGGGAGUUGUCAGAGGGGCCGUCUGAACGUAAGCGUAAAGUCACGAAAGGUCAAAAGUUAGCAGCUCCAGAUAGUGAUGAAGAAGAAAGGUUGGCGAGUCGAAAGCUACAGAAACUGAGGAAGGAUAAAGUUAAAAGUGGUGCGGAGCCUGGCGAUAAGGUGGUUGCUGAGAAGAAAGCGAAAUCAAAGUCCGCUACUUCGGAGGAGCAGUCUGCAGAGAAGGUAGUUGAGAAAAAGACGACUGUUGGUAGUAAAUUGAAACCUCCUGAAGAAGUUGAAAAAAGUAAGACUGGCAAAGAAAUUAGUUCAGAGAAGUUUGAAUCUGGUGAUAAAAACGAUAGCGACACUUCUGCGAAGUCCAACAAGUCGAAAAGAUCUCUGGAGGGGACGGCAGCAAAGUCUGAUGUUGGUACGAAUGUGACGUCUGCAACUGAAAAGAUGUCUGGCCAGGAAGAGAAAAAGAGUGGAGAGAAAGCUGCUAAGAGGGUUGAAUCAGGAAAAGCUGCCAAGGGAAAGAAAACAGAUGAUGAGGAAUCAGGUGCCAAAUGGAAAAAAGUUGGUGAAGGUGAAGAAGAUCGGGCUCUGUCGCCUCUACAGGAGAUGUUGGAGGAGGCUAACAAAGAAGUGGAGGAUGCCACAAAACAAGCAGCAGCUGCAGAAGAGAAGGAUAAAACAGCAGCAGCAAGGUUUAAGAAGUUUCAGUUGGAGAAGCCUGGGGUCAAAAAGGGGGCAAAAUCAGAGGAGGAAGUAAAAACUAAAGCAGCUGCGACUAAGAAACCUACAGAACCUAAAAAAUUGGACAAAGCUGGGUUAAAACUUUCUGAGACCAAGGAAAAGUUGCUGAAGAUCUUAGCACAGGGUAAGUUGAAGACUCAGGAUGCUGCUAAGAAAACUGCGGGGAAGCCUGGUCAGAAAGAUGAUACUAUGAACUUUUCUGCGGGUCUGGAAGCAAUAGUCCAAAGGAAGGGAGCAGAUAGUCGUAAGAAAGUCACUGCCACUAAAGCUGUCAAGAAAUCGGUGGCGAAAAGGAAAAAGAAUAUUAGUAAGUCUCCAGUACGUAAGAAAAGCAAAAAAAGCAACAGGGGUAGGCAUCGUGACUCAAGGUCUAGAUCUUCGUCAACAACUUCCUACAGCGAUCGCAGAAAAUCACGGCAUCGGCGACGCCACCGAUAUUCAAGUACUGAAAGUAGUCGAUCGCGAUACUCUAGUACUAGUUACAGUCGUAGGAGCAGGAGUAGGAGUCGAAGGAGAAGCUACAGUCGUAGGAGGAGUAGGAGCAGAUCCAGCAGUUACAGUCAUAGGAGGUCUCGUAGUAGGAGCAGAAGGAGGUCGAGAAGUCGAAAGCGAAGCUCUUCUGGUAGCAGGAGCUCAAGUCGGACUAGAAGUUCUAGUCGCAGUGGGAGUACUAGUAGUACGAGAAGCUCUAGUCAUAGUCGUAGCACUAGGAGUUCUAGUACAGGAAGUACUAGUAGUACCAGCAGCGCUUCUUCUAAAGAUUCUAAUGACAAUGCUGCCUGGAGGUUUAAACAUACUGGAACGAGUGCUAAGGCUGGACAAACCAAGUCUGAAAUCUUCGAGAGAAAGCGAACUGACAUUGAAAAUGAGCAGAAAAAGAAACAAAAUAAGAAUACCAUCGAUAAAGAAUUGCCUGACGAUCGGCGUGGGAAUUAUAAUAAUAGGAAUGACGAUCGACCGUGGCGGGGUGGACAUGAUUUUCGUUACAAUAACAACAACAGAGGGAGGUUCACGCAUCAUGAUAAUAGACCGAGGUUUAAUGACUUUGGUAAUUUUAGGGGUCCGGGGAGGUACCAGAGGGACUGGUACCCCAGAGGUAGUGGCAGUGGCUAUAGAGAUUUUAGAGACCACCGUCAGGAUAACAAUUUCAGAGACUUCAGAAAUCAAAACCGUGACCGACCGCCGUUUGUUCGACGGAACCGUUCAUGGAGUAGCGAGAGAGGUAAUGAGAAAGAUGCCAGUCCUGAGCGUUCGCGCAGUAAAGAUAAGAAAGGUAAAUCGCAGCGUUCGAAAUCGCGUGAUGACUCCAAAGACACUGAAAACAAACGCUCGCGGAGUCGUGAAUCUGGUGCUCAAACAAAAACUGCUGGUGCCAUUAAAUCUAAGGUGAACCCCCCUCCUAAGUUUGAUGCAGACAAAGAGAAAGUCCAUUCCGAUUCUGAAGGGAGCCAACAAGGUGAAAACAAACGAGCCUUCAGUUUGCUUAACAUGGAUAAAGAGAAACUUCCCGUUCACAAGCGGCUGGGUUCGCAACUCGGCAACGUGAUUCCGGCCAAAAUGAAUCGGCGUCAGCCCGACAACGAGCCAGAUAUGUUGUACAACCAAACCAAUAGAUGGCGUGCAUUUUUGCGACGUAUGGGUAAGGGAACAUGCACAUGUCAUCUGGCUCAAGAUAACUAUAGGGGACAGCAACGUGGUGGUUACGUGUACCGUCGCUGGCAGCCAAGGGGAUGGCACUACCAGCCCCGGUGGCACCACCCGGAGUUCAGCCCAUGACACAGGCUGCCAGGUUAUCGGACCUGGCCUCGAUACGACUCCCAUAACUUCUACCGCCCAUACAUCCACUGGCAUCCAUGGCAUCGCUAUAACAAUUACCAUCAACAUCGCUACUGGCACAAUAAUCAAAAUUACAACAAUAAUUACCGCAAUAAUUAUCAAAAUAAUUAUCGCAAUCAACACAAUUAUAAUCGACAUGACGGUAACGAACGGGGCCGAGAAAACGAACGCGAUCGUGACAACAACCGUGAACGUGACGACGAUCAUGAGGAACAACGACAACAAUGUGAUCAUGACAAGAACGAAGCGAGUGAUCGAGAGCAGGAGGAUGACCGCGAGAGCUUUGCAGAAAGCAAUAAGGAAGAAGAUUGAUUUUUAAGAUCUCCUUUAGUGACCAUCAGUUAGGGGGGGCGUCCACUAAGCAUAUUUUCUUAAGUAUUCUCAGAGACUUGUCAUAUCUUACAGUUAUAACUGACCGAUUUCUACCGAGCUUAGAAGUUACGUACCAAUAUUUGCGUGAAUAGGAUAUUGCAAGGCUAUUGGCUGUCAUGCACAAGUGAUUUGAUACUCGGGUGUUAUGUCCAUUGAAUGUUGCAAAGCAGCUCCCUUGCUGACAAUGACGUGAUGGGUUGAUGGCAAAGAUUGAUUUGCAUUCAAAUCAAUUUGCUAAGUUGGAAAAAUGGGAGUUCCUCAUACUCUUUCUAUUGGAAGUAAUCGAAAGUGGCACUAAAGGAGACCUUGAACUAUCCAUUUUUGGCGAUUUCUUCAGACUUGGGAUUGGCAUUUGGUUCAAAUUUAACUUGUUUUAUCUCAUGAUUUUUGCAUCUAAAUACUACACACCUGCAAUAGGGCUGUUCGGAAGCUGCGAUGAGAAAUGCAUUGGAGCAUAUGCUCACAUUUGCGCGAUAUUUGACAACGCUUGUCUGGGAAUUUUGUUGAAAGAAAAAUAUGAAAAGUAGAAAUUUUAAUGGUGUCAAAUUGAUACGCAUGAAUACUUGGUCCUCAUCAAGUGUGAGGAACACAACAAAAACACAAGAGACCAUCUGCAGUCACAGCAUGUAACCUUCGUAUCGUCAAUAUUAAGAAUAUAUGACUGCAACACAGAUACUUCUCUUGUUAAUACCCUUUGAAAGUUGAUGCUGUUAUGUGAGAUUUCCACAAUCGAUCAGGUUUGGAUGUCUGUCGAAUCUGAAAUAUUUUGAAUAUCGAUGACCACUGCAAAGCUUCUGUUGACUUGAAUGAUCAUAGAGGGGGUAUGGAAGGAAACCUUGCUCGAAUCUGUCAGGAAAAGAAAACCACAUGCAAGUAGCAGUAGAAACAGUUCGAGAAAAAUGGCCAAAGACGACAUUGGGUUAUGUUGGAUACUAUGGCCGCUAUAAGAUAUGUUCUUAUUGGUAUGGUAAUGGUAGAGACCCAGUUCAAUCCUUUAAUAUACUAUUCGAGAAUGUUGUUGUCAUUGCCAGAGAAAAAUCAGUGUGUCGAAAAAUGUUGAUAUGAAUAAGGACUAGUAAAAGCUUUUACUUCAGUGUGGUACAGAAAUGCAAAGUGUAAAUGUACGUGCACUUUUCAGUAUAAGCAUUUACUUGCCUUUAUUCUCAUGUCAGUGAAUGCCUUUGACAUGCAUUUACAUUGGGAAAUCUAACAAAAAGUUUUCUUAUACAAUAACGUGGGUUGCGAAUUGAAUAUGGAUUUAUAUCACAGGGUAAAUUAUGAAGAGAUGUUUAUAGACCGCUAUAUUGGAUAUAGUGAAAGUUAAAUUCUAAGCUGCAAAAAUUUACUGUACUGGUUUGUAUAACAAAUACGAGAUGGAUUUCUGUUCCAUUCUGUGAAUUGCAAUUUGAUUCCAGCAUAACCAGUAGAUAACAUGUAUAACUGUAAAAGUGGGAUGGACAGCUCACAGACUCUUUUUCAUUCUUGAACGUUCUUUCUGAGCUGAAUGGUUCCAGUGGUCUUCUUCACUACUGAUAUUGUACUGCCAUUUGAUGUGUUACCUCAAAUCAAUAAUUCGACAUUGGAGAAAACAAAUUUCUGCAACGAGAGGCUGGACAUCGAGGAUUGAAAGUGGAUACGACGAUUACGAAAAACGGGAGCAGAAUUCGUGUAACUUGGACCUAAAAUCGAAUGUCGAGAGAAAGAACACAAUAUGAUUUCGACGCUAAGAAUGUGACGGGAUUCCUGACGUUAACUGUCUUGAACUUCUUUCAAACUGUGUUAAUUCACGAGGGCACAUGGAAUGGCAGUAUAAAAUCAGUACUGGGUGAUACCUCAAUUCCUACUUGUUGUGUUUACCCCAUUGAAAACUCGUUGUGAUCAAUGAAAGUGUGUUGGUUAAUAUGAAUUUAUAAUUGAGCAGCAAAAAGAAAUCAUAAAUGCUGAAAAAUUGUCCUACUGUCUCUAAUUGGUUUGGCUUCACUUCUUUAACUUUUACAGAUCAGAACCUUCCUAAGAACCAAUUUUGUUGAUCAGAGUAAUCUAGACCAGAUUGUUGCACUUGCUUUACUUCAGAAACUCUUUUCUGUUGGCAUUUUCAAGUGAAGAAUCACUGCAAUUAAUGGAUUGAAAUUAAAAGCGAUUUUGAAACAAUACCUACUCAUUGGUCGACUUGUAGGUGUGGUGAUGUUCGGUAAGACCAAAAUGAUAUAUAUAUUGCCCUAGCAAUACAGUUACAGUUGGAGCCAUUUCAACUAUAAAAAAACACGUCUCGUCAUUGCCAUGUUUAUUUCACCUUCAUUCCCUCUGAUGCGAGGUUCUGUUCAACUUGAGUUGUGGAAAUUCAUCAUCUUAACGUUCUUGUACAGUAGUAUAUGAUUGGUUGGGCUGUUAUUUCUCUUAUUUGUGAACAGAUUGUUCAAAUAAAAUAUUUGUUUAAUUGGAA